rnacentral:misc_RNA from 1 species
GAUUAGCAGUAAUGUGAUUCCCUUCUGCUGGAUUAUAAAUUUGAUUAGAUAACAAACCUUUGCUAUUAGUUUGAUAUUUAAAGUAUGUGAUUAACGUACUGAUUCUUUUGCACAAUGAGCAUAAGCACGUAUCUUUUUUGUCCCAGAAAAGUUCAUCGACAGAACAUUUCUACCCAUCAAUCGGUUCCAGAGAAGAGCACUGCAGUGAAGAGAGAAAAGUGCCCAAGUAAGAAGUCUCAGCUGUUUCAGUUGGGAUAAAAAGAUCGAAGUUUAGAUUUGUGUUCUAACUAGUGAUGAGCCAAAUCUAGUUCUUUAUCAAGUUCUAUUAAGCAGGAUUUACUGCUCUUAAUUUUAAUAUAACAACUGCACUUCCUUAUUUCUACCUGAAUGUAUAUUUGCUUUCAGAAUCAGCUCAACAUCAUUGGCUUUAAGGAUUGUUUCCAAUCAAUUGAAUUAAGCUUUUGAAUGAAAUGAUUUGAUUAUUG